GACGAACCGUCCAAACGUUAUUCGGAAUCACUGGGCUUAAAGGGUGCGUAGGCGGCGCGGAAAGUUGGGUGUGAAAUCCCUCGGCUCAACCGAGGAACUGCGCCCAAAACUACCGUGCUCGAGGGAGAUAGAGGUGAGCGGAACUUAGGGUGGAGCGGUGAAAUGCGUUGAUAUCAUCAGGAACACCGGUGGCGAAGGCGGCUUUCUGGGUCUUACCUGACGCUGAGGAACGAAAGCCAGGGGAGCGAACGGG
rnacentral:rRNA from 1 species